UGUCUAUAUAUCGUUUUAUUCUGAGAGAAAUAAUGAAAUGUUACGUGAGUGACAUUUAUACUCUAUUAGAAAAUUUCUUCAACUCACGUGAGUACCUUGAUAUUGAGAUCUCAGCGUGAAAUAUAUUUUGCGUGUGCGCAUAUAUUUGGCUUAUACUUGUAAGUAACGAUUCUCAUUUAUUUUAUGCUUCUCUAACUCGUAAUUUUGAUUGACGUCUUUUUAAUAACUACAUGCGAUCACGAAGAGUUCAUGUACUUA